AUUGAACGCUGGCGGCAGGCCUAACACAUGCAAGUCGAACGAGUGGCGGACGGGUGAGUAAUGUCUGGGAAACUGCCUGAUGGAGGGGGAUAACUACUGGAAACGGUAGCUAAUACCGCAUACCAUCAGAUGUGCCCAGAUGGGAUUGGCUAGUUGGUAGGGUAACGGCUCACCAAGGGGACGAUCCCUAGCUGGUCUGAGAGGAUGACCAGCCACACUGGAACUGAGACACGGUCCAGACGCCUUAGGGAGGCAGAAGGGGGGAAUAUUGCACAAGGGGCGCAAUCCUGAUGCAGCCAGGCCGAGUGUAUGAAGAGGGCCGUCGGGUUGUAAAGUUCUUUCAGCGGGGAGGCGUUACCCGCAGAAGAAGCACCGGCUAACUCCGUGCCAGCAGCCGCGGUAUUUC
rnacentral:rRNA from 1 species